UGGGGAUAACACCUGGAAACAGAUGCUAAUACCGUAUAACAGAGAAAACCGCAUGGUUUUCUUUUAAAAGAUGGCUCUGCUAUCACUUCUGGAUGGACCCGCGGCGUAUUAGCUAGUUGGUGAGGUAAAGGCUCACCAAGGCAGUGAUACGUAGCCGACCUGAGAGGGUAAUCGGCCACAUUGGGACUGAGACACGGCCCAGACUCCUACGGGAGGCAGCAGUAGGGAAUCUUCCACAAUGGACGCAAGUCUGAUGGAGCAACGCCGCGUGAGUGAAGAAGGGUUUCGGCUCGUAAAGCUCUGUUGUUAAAGAAGAACGUGGGUAAGAGUAACUGUUUACCCAGUGACGGUAUUUAACCAGAAAGCCACGGCUAACUACGUGCCAGCAGCCGCGGUAAUACGUAGGUGGCAAGCGUUAUCCGGAUUUAUUGGGCGUAAAGCGAGCGCAGGCGGUCUUUUAAGUCUAAUGUGAAAGCCUUCGGCUCAACCGAAGAAGUGCAUUGGAAACUGGGAGACUUGAGUGCAGAAGAGGACAGUGGAACUCCAUGUGUAGCGGUGAAAUGCGUAGAUAUAUGGAAGAACACCAGUGGCGAAGGCGGCUGUCUGGUCUGCAACUGACGCUGAGGCUCGAAAGCAUGGGUAGCGAACAGGAUUAGAUACCCUGGUAGUCCAUGCCGUACACGAUGAUUACUAAGUGUUGGAGGGUUUCCGCCCUUCAGUGCUGCAGCUAACGCAUUAAGUAAUCCGCCUGGGGAGUACGACCGCAAGGUUGAAACUCAAAAGAAUUGACGGGGGCCCGCACAAGCGGUGGAGCAUGUGGUUUAAUUCGAAGCUACGCGAAGAACCUUACCAGGUCUUGACAUCUUCUGACAGUCUAAGAGAUUAGAGGUUCCCUUCGGGGACAGAAUGACAGGUGGUGCAUGGUUGUCGUCAGCUCGUGUCGUGAGAUGUUGG
rnacentral:rRNA from 1 species